UGCAUGGCCUCACCGUCAUGCUCUUCCUUCCCUCUCAAUGUGGAAAGGUGAAAGACUUUGUAUGGGAUGAAUAAGAAUAGGGUAGUCCCAAUAAUUUUUUUCCUAAACCAUGGUUAACCAAGGUCAACAUUUAAGGCGAACUAGCUAGAAUGAAAUGACGUGAUGAACUUUUAUUUACUUUUUCAAUAGGUGACAUGAUAAAAUAAGUCUAUCCAAUAAUUUCUCUAGAGUUUGAUGUUAUAAAAAUAGGAGG
rnacentral:lncRNA from 1 species